rnacentral:rRNA from 1 species
UACGUAGGCAGCAAGCGUUGUUCGGAGUUACUGGGCGUAAAGGGCGCGUAGGCGGUUCUUCAAGUCUCUCGUGAAAUCCCUCGGCUUAACUGAGGACGUGCGGGAGAUACUGAAGGGCUUGAGUCCGGAAGAGGGUGGUGGAAUUCCCAGUGUAGCGGUGAAAUGCGUAGAUAUUGGGAGGAACACCGGUGGCGAAGGCGGCCACCUGGGCCGGAACUGACGCUGAGGCGCGAAAGCGUGGGGAGCAAACGGG